rnacentral:rRNA from 1 species
UAUGUGAUCGUCUCUCGCAUAUCAAUAAGCGGAGGAAAAGAAACUAACAAGGAUUCCCCUAGUAACGGCGAGUGAAGCGGGAAGAGCUCAAAUUUGAAAUCUUAAAGGGUUUCCCUUUACGAAUUGUAGUUUAAAGAAGUGUUUUCUGUUGAGGUUUUGGUAAAAGUUCUUUGGAAUAGGACAUCAUAGAGGGUGAGAAUCCCGUAUUUGACCUUUACUUUCAACUUUGUGAUACACUUUCAAAGAGUCGGAUUGUUUGGGAAUGCAGUCCAAAAUGGGUGGUAAAUUUCAUCUAAAGCUAAAUAUUGGCGAGAGACCGAUAGCGAACAAGUACCGUGAGGGAAAGAUGAAAAGAACUUUGAAAAGAGAGUUAAACAGUACGUGAAAUUGUCAAAAGGGAAGCGUUUGACACCAGUGUUGUUUUUCUGAAAAUCAAUUAAAGAACUGUUUAUGCUAAGCUGUUUAGACUUUAUCAGCUAACUGUUUAGUUUUGAGCUUUUCUUUAAUGCACUUUUCAGUUAACAAGUCAACAUCAAUUUCUUUUGCUGUAAAAAAGCUUGAGGAAGGUGGCUUGAGAUUCGUCUUAAGUGUUUAUAGCCUCUUGCCUAUGCAGUCGGAGAGAUUGAGGUCUGCAGCGUAGAUCCUUCGGGGCUAAAUGCAUUUGUGCUAAGUUAUAGCAUUUUAUAGACAACUUGUUGACUAUGAUUUGUCUUGUAGCUUACUCGCUUAUGUUAUUUUACCUACGCUUAGGAUGUUGAUAUGCAUGACUGAUAU